rnacentral:lncRNA from 1 species
GGAAGCUAGGAAUGGAAAUGGAAUUUAAAUUCCAAAUCCCCCCAGCCCCAUGGGGCCGUGGGGCAUGGGGGGUGGGGGAGUAGGCGAGGCCUGCAGGGAUUUGCUCUUCUCCCUCUUUUUCGUGGAGUUGCAAUUCACGCCAAGAUAUGAAUAAAAUUUAUACUACAAAAGGGUUAUCACCAAAUAGGAUCCACCACAAAACUAUAUGUGAAAUGAAGUUCACCAGAGGCUAUAACUUGAAAAUGUUUGCAAUGAUGAAGCAGAGACAAAUUGCAUAACAAAAAAAAAUCCAACAAGAAAAUGAUGUCGUCCAGGGUGGCAUCUACAACCAUUACCUCAUUUCCAAAGGAACAGAGAUGGUUGGCAGUUCCUGAAUCCUCAGAUAUCCAUUGGUUGGCAGUUCCUGAAUCCUCAGAUAUCCAUUGGAGCAGCACCCUCUUCAGUAGCAGCACCCUCUUCAGGAGCAGCACCCUCUUCUGCGGCAGCAACCACUUCACCAGCAGCACCCUCUUCACCAGCAGCACCCUGGUCCGCAGCAGGAGCCUCCUCCCCUGCCAUCUCAAAUGCAUUAAUUAACCCCUGCACUGUUUCCUGAUCCAAUAUAUGGAAAGGCUCCCCCACUCCAAGCACUGUGACUGUGCAAAUGGAGCUCUUAAGCUUUU